rnacentral:rRNA from 1 species
AUCGAACGCUGGCGGCAUGCUUAACACAUGCAAGUCGAACGAGUGGCGGACGGGUGUGUAAUGUCUGUGAAACUCCCCGUUUGUUGGGGAUAACUAUUGGAACCGGUAGCUAUUACCGCAUACCAUCGGAUUUGCCCAGAUGGGUUUCGCUAGUAGGUGGGGUAACGGCUCACCUAGGCGACUACCCCUAGCUGGUCUGAGAGGAUGACCAGCCACACUGGAACUGGGACACGGUCCAGACUCCUACGGGAGGCAGCAGUGGGGAAUAUUGCACAAUGGGCGCAAGCCUGAUGCAGCCAUGCCGCGUGUAUGAGGAAGGCCUUCGGGUUGUAAAGUACUGUCAGCGAGGAGGCGUUACUCGCAGAAGAAGCACCGGCUAACUCCGUGCCAGCAGCCGCGGUAAUUC